UGAAGCGGGGGGACAGAUGUGCGCCAGCGAGGCAUAAGCAGAAUGAGGCAUCACCGCAUGACCGCAUCAGCUCAUCGCAUCGGCCGCUUUGCUUUGCUUGCUGCUCUCUUCUCUCCGCUUUCCGCCGCGGUGCAAGGCCAGCGAAUUCCAUUUCCUUCCGCGUCUGUCCCCAAAAGCGGGAGGCCCGCCGCCGGAACGAGCCAGCAAAGCCAAGCAAGCAUAUUGACGGAGGAGGCGGAACGGCGGAAGCGUGAAUCCGGAGGCUCUGCAGCUGUUCUCCAGAAGCAGCCGACUGGGUGUCCGUCCGCGGACCGGUCGGUGUAUAAAUGGUUGGCGAGGAGAGCGGCUGCGGCGUCGAGGGAGGGACAGGAGGAGGAGAAGUGCCGGCGGCCUCUGCUCCCAACGGGGACCGCUCAGGGAAUAGCCGCCUCGCCGUGCCGUCAUCCUCCGCAGAUGAUAGAGGCUUCCAUAGAUCAAGCACCAUGCCAGGGGUGAUUAAGAAUGAUGAAAUUACCAAUGAAUCUACUGGACCAUCAAAUUUGGAAAGGUCCAGAACUGAGCGUCGUCGGCAAAAUAAUCCAACUAUUGAUCCUGCUAAACAGUUACUUGAUGAAAGGAUUCCAAUAAAAAAGAAGCUCAAAAUGCUAAAUCGGAUUGCUACAGUAAAAGAUGAUGGAACUGUGGUUGUUGAUGUGCCAAGUGGUCUGGAACCAACUAUAGUUGGUGGAACUGAGGAUAUUUAUACUGAAGCUGUUGAAGAAGCAUUAGAUGGAACGGAGAUACUAUACAGGCCUCCUAUGCAAAUAGUUAUACUUAUUGUGGGUACACGAGGAGAUGUGCAGCCAUUUGUUGCUAUCGGGAAAUGUUUACAGGACUAUGGGCAUCGUGUGAGAUUGGCCACUCAUGCCAACUUUAAGGAGUUUGUACUAACAGCUGGCCUGGAGUUUUUUCCGCUUGGUGGAGAUCCCAAAAUUCUUGCUGAAUAUAUGGUGAAGAAUAAAGGAUUCCUACCUUCGGGACCAUCAGAAAUUCCUAUUCAAAGGAAACAGAUGAAAGAAAUUAUUUUUUCUUUGCUGCCUGCAUGCAAGGAACCUGAUCCUGACACUGGCAUUCCUUUUAAUGUUGAUGCAAUUAUUGCGAACCCACCCGCGUAUGGACAUACACAUGUGGCAGAAGCACUAAAAGUACCAAUUCAUAUAUUCUUUACCAUGCCAUGGACGCCUACUAAUGAAUUUCCUCACCCUCUUUCUCGCGUGAAGCAGCCUGCUGGAUAUCGACUUUCUUAUCAAAUUGUGGACUCCAUGAUUUGGCUUGGAAUAAGGGAUAUGAUAAAUGAGUUCAGAAAGAAAAAGCUGAAGCUGCGUCCAGUAACAUAUCUAAGUGGUUCUCAGGGUUCUGGCAAUGACAUUCCGCAUGGAUACAUUUGGAGUCCUCAUCUUGUUCCGAAACCAAAAGAUUGGGGCCCAAAGAUCGAUGUUGUUGGAUUUUGCUUCCUUGAUCUUGCUUCCAAUUACGUACCUCCUGAACCACUUGUGGAAUGGCUUGAAGCCGGUGACAAGCCCAUAUAUGUUGGUUUUGGUAGUCUUCCAGUUCAAGAUCCACAAAAGAUGACUGAAAUUAUUGUCAAAGCACUGGAAAUUACUGGACAGAGAGGUAUCAUUAACAAAGGCUGGGGUGGCCUUGGAACCUUGUCAGAACCAAAAGAUUUUGUGUAUCUACUAGACAACUGCCCUCAUGACUGGCUUUUUCUGCACUGCAAAGCAGUGGUGCAUCAUGGUGGUGCUGGAACGACAGCCGCAGGUCUUAAAGCAGCGUCUAUGAUUGCAGUGUCCCACGACUAUUGUACCCUUCUUUGGUGACCAACCUUUCUGGGGUGACCGGGUGCAUGCAAGAGGGCUAGGGCCUCCGCCUAUUCCAGUUGAUCAGUUUGGUUUGCAGAAGUUGGUCGACGCUAUAACAUUCAUGAUGAAACCAGAGGUGAAAGAUAAGGCUGUGGAGCUGGCGAAAGCCAUGGAAUCUGAAGACGGGGUGACAGGUGCUGUUAGGGCAUUCCUUAGACACCUGCCAUCAAAAGCUGAGGAACAGAGUCUGCCGCAGUCAUCGGGCUUCCUGGAAUUCUUAGGCCCACUAAGUAAAUGUUUGGGAUGUUCUUAGUGCACAAGGCAUCGUUACUAUUCACGGAUUGGCGGUGUACCAUUUCCUCGAAGCAGCCACGAGUUAUCGUAAUAUUCCAUGCAAAGAAGCUUCAGGCCAGUAGUGUUUCUCCUCUUCUUUUCUGCGGGUAUUUAUAAUGUGUAAAGAGUGCUUGUGGUGUGGAUGGUCUGCACGGAUGGCCUGCAUCCUGUGGUGCGUGUAAUUUUGAUGUGCAUGUUUGCCGUGCAGCACAGACGACGAUUUCACGUCUGCAUGGCCAACCCGUUCUGUAUAUGAAAAGAAACAGGUGCCUACGUUUUCUUC